GAUGAAGAACGCAGCGAAAUGCGAUAAGUAAUGUGAAUUGCAGAAUUCAGUGAAUCAUCGAAUCUUUGAACGCACAUUGCGCCCGCCAGUAUUCUGGCGGGCGUGCCUGUUCGAGCGUCAUUUCAACCAUCAAGCCCCCGGCUUGUGUUGGGGACCUGCGGCUGCCGCAGGCCCUGAAAAGCAGUGGCGGGCUCGCUGUCACACCGAGCGUAGUAGAUUUCAUCUCGCUCAGGGCGUGCUGCGGGUUCCGGCCGUUAAACCACCUUCAUAACCCAAGGUUGACCUCGGAUCAGGUAGGAAGACCCGCUGAACUUAAGCAUAUCAAUAAGCGGAGGA
rnacentral:misc_RNA from 1 species